AGUCGCUGCACUUCCUUUCAGGUCCCUAGGGUCCUGGUCCAGUCAUGGUGGGGAGGCACCUGGUAGAAAAAGACGUCCUUGCGAUCAGUGCCUUCAGUGGCGAACUCCUCCACGAUGCCCUCGGGGCUGAUGCCAUGCUCAGCACACAGCUGUUUCCAGAACUCGAACCCAACUGGGGGAGGGGAAAGAAGCCCAAGUCUGCUGGAGCCUUAAGGCCGGAAAAGCCCAGGCUCAGAGGCUGUUACUUUCAGGAAGGCGACCCAAGACGCCUGGAGGUUGUCACAGCCCAGGUCUGAGGAGGCAGCUCUUGCCUGGAUCAUCAGGCGCAAUAAGGCACAGCUGGAAUUCAGCACAGGCGCAGAGUGAGGCCACGCCCCCUCAUACUGUGGCACCAACCGAACCUCUUCUUGCUUUGCUGGACCUGCAUCUGCACCUGGUAUCAAAUGGUAACUUUUGUCAGUCCCAUGGAUGCUGGUGUGAUUUAUUGUUUCUACUUAUCACAGCGAACUCUGUUGAACUCUCCUACCCAGCUUCCUUUCCUUCUCCUCCUUUCCUCUUUCCUUUGGAAGAAAAUGAGUUCUUUGAGUGCAUUUCAGGGGCAGGCAGCCAGGCACUAACAAGACUCUACCACCUGCCAGUUCUACUUUUGUUAC